rnacentral:rRNA from 2 species
AACGAACGCUGGCGGCAUGCCUAACACAUGCAAGUCGAACGAAACCAAGGCUUCGGCCUGAAGUUUAGUGGCGCACGGGUGCGUAACGCGUGGGAAUCUGCCCUUGGGUUCGGAAUAACUCAGAGAAAUUUGAGCUAAUACCGGAUGAUGACGAAAGUCCAAAGAUUUAUCGCCCAAGGAUGAGCCCGCGUAAGAUUAGCUUGUUGGUGAGGUAAAGGCUCACCAAGGCGACGAUCUUUAGCUGGUCUGAGAGGAUGAUCAGCCACACUGGGACUGAGACACGGCCCAGACUCCUACGGGAGGCAGCAGUGGGGAAUAUUGGACAAUGGGCGAAAGCCUGAUCCAGCAAUGCCGCGUGAGUGAUGAAGGCCUUAGGGUUGUAAAGCUCUUUUACCAGGGAUGAUAAUGACAGUACCUGGAGAAUAAGCUCCGGCUAACUCCGUG